UUAUUAAAAGGCAAAAAAUGUUUUUAUUUUAUUAUUUAUUCUUAAGAUUUGCUAUAACUCGAUAAAAUGAAAGUUUUGGUAUAAGUUGUAAUUACCUAUCUUAGGAAUGCUAUAUACGUUUUUUCCUAAGCAAAACAUAUGUACAAAAUUCAAAGCCCAACAUCAGGUUCAGACCAAUAGGCCCAUGAUCCCAUAUUAAGCUUAAAAAAAUCUACUACUAAAAACGAAGAGAAAUAUAAAGCAAAAAAGGAAAAAGGAAAGUAACAAUGGUCAAGCUCUUCAAGUGCUCCCAACAAAUUCAUUUGCAGAUCAAAUGGUGAUUUUCAAGGAUUCUUCUAUGAUCCUAACCGGAGUCAUUCUCUUGAUCUUAUUUGUCAAGAGGUUACUUUUGAUCGGAACUACGGUGAGUUCUUGGCAUCCGGAGGCUUACCCAUGUCCUUCAUGCACUUUAUUGUCUAUAUGUUGUAUAUGUUUAGAAAACUUUGUAUUAGAUUAAUAUAGUAGCUCUUGCACAAUCUUAGAUUAAUAGCUUCUCCUGUACUAACUCUUGUACUAGUGACACCAGGUUCGGAGUUUGAUUCUUCUAUAUUUUGUCUUUUCUUGGUUCCCGUAGGGCCCACAUUUGUAUAUUUCAUACAUGUUAUGUAUGUAUCUAUAAUUGUUGGCC